GCCAGGUGCAGUGGCGCACGCCUGUAAUCCCAGCACUCAGGAGGCUGAGGCAGGCAGAUUGCAAGUUGAAAGCCAGUCUCAGCAACUUAGCAAGGCCCUGUCUCUA
rnacentral:sRNA from 1 species